UACAGAGGGUGCAAGCGUUAAUCGGAAUUACUGGGCGUAAAGCGUGCGUAGUCGGUUAUCUAAGUCGGAUGUGAAAUCCCCGGGCUUAACCUGGGAAUGGCCAUGGAAACUGCCGAGCUGGAGUGCCGGAGGGGAGAGUGGAAUUCCGCGUGUAGCAGUGAAAUGCGUAGAUAUGCGGAGGAACACCGAUGGCGAAGGCAAUCCCCUGGGCCUGCACUGACGCUCAUGCACGAGAGCGUGGGGAGCAAACAGG
rnacentral:rRNA from 1 species